AGAGUUUGAUCCUGGCUCAGGAUGAACGCUAGCGGCAGGCUUAACACAUGCAAGUCGAGGGGCAGCGUGAGGGUUAGCAAUAACCCUUGACGGCGACCGGCGCAAGGGUGCGUAACGCGUGAGCAACUUGCCUCCAUCAGGGGCAUAACCUCCGGAAACGGAGACUAAUUCCCCAUGGUUUCUUUGUGCGGCAUCGCAUUUUGAAUAAAGAUUUAUCGGAUGGAGAUAGGCUCGCGUGACAUUAGGUAGACGGCGGGGUAACGGCCCACCGUGCCGACGAUGUCUAGGGGUUCUGAGAGGAAGGUCCCCCACACUGGAACUGAGACACGGUCCAGACUCCUACGGGAGGCAGCAGUGAGGAAUAUUGGUCAAUGGGCGUGAGCCUGAACCAGCCAUGCCGCGUGAAGGAUGUUGCCCUAUGGGUCUUAAACUUCUUUUGCUGCAGAGCAAUAAGGUCCACGUGUGGUCCGAUGAGAGUAUGCAGCGAAUAAGCACCGGCUAACUCCGUGCCAGCAGCCGCGGUAAUACGGAGGGUGCAAGCGUUAUCCGGAUUUAUUGGGUUUAAAGGGUGCGUAGGCUGUUCGGUAAGUCAGCGGUGAAAUUUCCGGGCUCAACCCGGGACCUGCCGUUGAUACUGCCGGGCUGGAAUGCGGAUGCCGCCGGAGGAAUGUGUGGUGUAGCGGUGAAAUGCAUAGAUAUCACACAGAACACCGAUUGCGAAGGCAUCUGGCGAAUCCGCUAUUGACGCUGAAGCACGAAAGCGCGGGGAUCAAACAGGAUUAGAUACCCUGGUAGUCCGCGCCGUAAACGAUGAUGGCUAACCGUGGGCGAUACACUGUCCGUGGCCAAGCGAAAGCGAUAAGCCAUCCACCUGGGGAGUACGGCCGCAAGGCUGAAACUCAAAGGAAUUGACGGGGGCCCGCACAAGCGGAGGAACAUGUGGUUUAAUUCGAUGAUACGCGAGGAACCUUACCCGGGCUCGAACGGCAGUUGAAUAUGUCAGAGAUGUCAUAGUCUUCGGACAGCUGUCGAGGUGCUGCAUGGUUGUCGUCAGCUCGUGCCGUGAGGUGUCGGCUUAAGUGCCAUAACGAGCGCAACCCUUGCCGUCAGUUGCCAUCAGGUAAUGCUGGGGACUCUGGCGGGACUGCCACCGCAAGGUGCGAGGAAGGGGGGGAUGACGUCAAAUCAGCACGGCCCUUACGUCCGGGGCGACACACGUGUUACAAUGGGGGGUACAGCGGGAUGCUACCCGGCGACGGGAUGCCGAUCCGUAAAAGCCCCUCCCAGUUCGGACUGGAGUCUGCAACCCGACUCCACGAAGUUGGAUUCGCUAGUAAUCGCGCAUCAGCCAUGGCGCGGUGAAUACGUUCCCGGGCCUUGUACACACCGCCCGUCAAGCCAUGGGAGCCGGGGGCGCCUGAAGUCCGUGACCGAGAGGAGCGGCCUAGGGCGAUACUGGUAACUGGGGCUAAGUCGUAACAAGGUAACC
rnacentral:rRNA from 1 species